rnacentral:rRNA from 1 species
ACGCGAAAGCCCCCUUCGGGGGGCAAGUAGAGUGGCGCACGGGUGAGUAACACGUAGGUAAUCUACCUUUGGAUGGGGAAUAACAACCGGAAACGGUUGCUAAUACCGCAUAAUGCAGCGGCACCUAAUGGUGACAGUUGUUAAAGCGGGGGAUCGCAAGACCUCGCGUCUGAAGAGGAGCCUGCGGCGGAUUAGCUAGUUGGUAAGGUAACGGCUUACCAAGGCUAUGAUCCGUAGCCGGCCUGAGAGGGCGGUCGGCCACACUGACACUGACAUACGGGUCAGACUCCUACGGGAGGCAGCAGUCGGGAAUUUUGGGCAAUGGGCGAAAGCCUGACCCAGCAGCGCCGCGUGAAGGAUGAAAUCCUUCGGGAUGUAAACUUCGCAAGAACAGGAAGAAUAAGUCGGUGACGAUACCACCGACGAUGACGGUACUGUUUGUAAGCUCCGGCUAACUCCGUGCCAGCAGCCGCGGUAAUACGGGGGGAGCAAGCGUUG